GACGAACGCUGGCGGCGUGCUUAACACAUGCAAGUCGAACGGAAAGGCCCUGCUUUUGUGGGGUGCUCGAUUGGCGAACGGGUGAGUAACACGUGAGUAACCUGCCCUUGACUUUGGGAUAACUUCAGGAAACUGGGGCUAAUACCGGAUAGGAGCUCCUGCUGCAUGGUGGGGGUUGGAAAGUUUCGGCGGUUGGGGAUGGACUCGCGGCUUAUCAGCUUGUUGGUGGGGUAGUGGCUUACCAAGGCUUUGACGGGUAGCCGGCCUGAGAGGGUGACCGGCCACAUUGGGACUGAGAUACGGCCCAGACUCCUACGGGAGGCAGCAGUGGGGAAUAUUGCACAAUGGGCGGAAGCCUGAUGCAGCAACGCCGCGUGCGGGAUGACGGCCUUCGGGGUGUAAACCGCUUUCGCCUGUGACGAAGCGUGAGUGACGGUAAUGGGUAAAGAAGCACCGGCUAACUACGUG
rnacentral:rRNA from 1 species